rnacentral:rRNA from 1 species
CCUCUUCCCUUCCCGAACAGAGAAGUUAAGCCCGUUAGCGCCGAUGGUACUGCAGAGAUGUGGGAGAGUAGGUCGAUGCCAACC